rnacentral:rRNA from 1 species
UACGGAGGGGGCUAGCGUUGUUCGGAAUUACUGGGCGUAAAGCGCACGUAGGCGGCUUUGUAAGUUAGAGGUGAAAGCCCAGGGCUCAACCCUGGAAUUGCCUUUAAGACUGCAUCGCUUGAACAUCGGAGAGGUAAGUGGAAUUCCGAGUGUAGAGGUGAAAUUCGUAGAUAUUCGCAGGAACACCAGUGGCGAAGGCGGCUAACUGGUCCAUAACUGACGCUGAGGUGCGAAAGCGUGGGGAGCAAACAGG